AAUAAAUUAUGUAAAGAAAAUUUUGAUAAAAUAUUUAUGAAAAACGAUAAAUAACCCCCACUCUAUAAUGUUAUACUAUUAGUUUUUUCUUAUCUGUACUACAGUACUUAACGACUGUUUUUAGUGAAUCGUAAGACAUUCUAACAAUCGGCUUAUUCGGCUUCCGUUCAAUUAAAAAAAAAUCAUCGAUUGUUACAAAAUUCAUUAAAAAAAAAUUUUCGUUAUUUUAAUAACUGAAAUUUUUCUUUUACUGUAAAAAAUGUGGAAACAAAAAGUAUCACAGUUGAGCUACAUCAUAUUUUUCAUUACAAUUUUUUUGAUGCUACAAAUUGUGAAAAUGGCUCCAACCAAUAAUUCAAAACUCUUUUGUAAAAACAAAAUACUUGAAAUGUUAGAAUAUUUUUGUGAAAGUUCUCAAAGAAAUAUGGAAGUUCUAAAUUAUUGUUGUGAAAAUUCAUGCAGUUAUUCAGAAAUUUUUUCAGUAUGUUCUUAACAAGUAUUAUUAUAAAUUCCGCAAUACGAAACAAAAAAAUUAUUUAAGGUUGAUAACAAUCGUUCAUAACAAAAAAAAAAAAAAAAAAAAAAAAAAAUAA